AAACUGUCUCCCUUUUUUUGUUCUUUUUACAGGGUCUCACUCUCUCCCCAAGGCUGAAAUGAAGUGGCAGAAUCACAGUUCACCACAUCUUCAAGCUCCUGGGCUCAAGCAAUCUUCCUACCUCAGCCUCCUAGUAAAUCAACGAAGAAGAAGAAAAAAAGAAACCCUUGUUACCCAGGCUGGAGUGCAGUGGCGCUAUCUCAGCUCACCACAACCUCCACCUCCCAGAUUCAAGGUGGACUCACUUGUUAAGGUAAGAAAUAAAGGGAAAACUUCUUACUAUAUUAGACUGUAGGAAGGUACCUCUAUUUUAUCUUAUGCGUACAAUAGAGUUAAGAAAGAUGCUGUUAUAAUAAAAUAUAACAUUUUUACUUAAUAAUUAUUUAUAAACAACCACAUAGAAAAUAUAAUUAUCC
rnacentral:lncRNA from 1 species